UACAGAGGGGGCAAGCGUUGUUCGGAAUUACUGGGCGUAAAGGGCGCGUAGGCGGCCUGUUAAGUCGAACGUGAAAUCCCCGGGCUCAACCCGGGAACUGCGUCCGAUACUGGCAGGCUUGAAUCCGGGAGAGGGAUGCGGAAUUCCAGGUGUAGCGGUGAAAUGCGUAGAUAUCUGGAGGAACACCGGUGGCGAAGGCGGCAUCCUGGACCGGUAUUGACGCUGAGGAGCGAAAGCCAGGGGAGCAAACGGG
rnacentral:rRNA from 1 species